rnacentral:rRNA from 1 species
UAGGGAAUCUUCCACAAUGGACGCAAGUCUGAUGGAGCAACGCCGCGUGAGUGAAGAAGGGUUUCGGCUCGUAAAGCUCUGUUGUUAAAGAAGAACGUGGGUAAGAGUAACUGUUUACCCAGUGACGGUAUUCAACCAGAAAGCCACGGCUAACUACGUGCCAC